rnacentral:rRNA from 1 species
UGGGGAAUUUUGGACAAUGGGGGAAACCCUGAUCCAGCCAUGCCGCGUGCGGGAAGAAGGCCUUCGGGUUGUAAACCGCUUUUGGCAGGAACGAAACGGCGCGCGCUAAUACCGCGCGCUAAUGACGGUACCUGCAGAAUAAGCACCGGCUAACUACGUGCCAGCAGCCGCGGUAAUACGUAGGGUGCAAGCGUUAAUCGGAAUUACUGGGCGUAAAGCGUACGCAGGCGGCUGUGCAAGACAGGUGUGAAAUCCCCGGGCCCAACCUGGGAACUGCAUUUGUGACUGCAUAGCUAGAGUCCGUAAGAGGGGGGUGGAAUUCCACGUGUAGCAGUGAAAUGCGUAGAGAUGUGGAGGAACACCGAUGGCGAAGGCAGCCCCCUGGGAUGAGACUGACGCUCAUGUACGAAAGCGUGGGGAGCAAACAGGAUUAGAUACCCUGGUAGUCCACGCCCUAAACGAUGUCGACUAGUUGUCGGGUCUUUACAGACUUGGUAACGCAGCUAACGCGUGAAGUCGACCGCCUGGGAGUACGGUCGCAAGAUUA